rnacentral:rRNA from 1 species
GUGUCAGCAGCCGCGGUAAUACGUAGGGACCAAGCGUUGUUCGGAUUUACUGGGCGUAAAGGGCGCGUAGGCGGCAAUUCAAGUCAUCUGUGAAAUCUCCGGGCUUAACUCGGAACGGUCAGAUGAUACUGCUUUGCUAGAGUGCGGAAGGGGCAAUCGGAAUUCUUGGUGUAGCGGUGAAAUGCGUAGAUAUCAAGAGGAACACCUGAGGUGAAGACGGGUUGCUGGGCCGACACUGACGCUGAUGCGCGAAAGCCAGGGGAGCAAACGGGAUUAGAAACCCCCGUAGUCC